rnacentral:lncRNA from 1 species
CUCACCUAUUCUUAAUUUAUCUUGCUUAAGUAAAACCGUAUCUUCACUGAAAUGUUGGUUUCUUUUCCUUUUGCCCUGUUAUUUAUUUUUUAUUUAUUUUUAUUUUUUUGAGACCGAGUCUCGCUCUGUCGCCCAGGCUGAAGUGCAGUGGCGCGAUCUCGACUCACUGCAAGCUCCGCCUCCCGGGUUCACGCCAUUCUCCUGUCUCAGCCUCCUGAGUAGCUGGGACUACAGGCGCCCGCCACCGCGCCCGGCUAAUUUUUUGUAUUUUUAGUAGAGACAGGGUUUCACCAUGUUAGUCAAGAUGGUCUUGAUCUCCUGACCUCGUGAUCCACCCGCCUCGGCCUCCCAAAGUGCUGGGAUUUCAGGCGUGAGCCACCGCACCCGGCCUGCCCUGUUCUUAAAGUAAGAAACUGAUGUCUCUGGGAGCCCUGGUCAACUGGAAUUGGGGACUUGGUGCUGCUGGUUUGGUUGAGCUGCCGCUGCUAGGCCAUCUGAACCCACAGCAAGCUGAUGAUAGACUGCAGGAAAAGCUCCAUUCAGAUAGCAAGGGUCCUUCACCAGCCCCAUUCCACGACGCACUCAACGACCCUGCCUCCAAGGAUUGAAAGCCUCUAGCUCCACUCAGAAAGUGUGAUGAGAAAUCCAAAUCCCACCAAAGUUGAGUUCUUUGUUAACAUUCCAGAGUCUGAGAAGGGAGCUUGCAUAGGACUGAGU